GUUAAUAAUUGACGCAACAAAAAAGUGAAAUCCCUAAAACUAAACCUAAACACAAUAUAUUGUUCAUCAUUUCACGACCUAAGCCAAAGACUCCAUAGUCGAUCUAAACGUGAAAGACUCCACAAUCGACCUAAACGCACUGCCGCCCUCAACCCUUAUAGUCGAGCUCUCAGUCGCUAGCAGUGGCGUUUCUCGUCUCCUCUCGCCUCCGGUUUUAAAAGGAAGCUAAUCGAUCUCCCAGUCGCAGCAGUGGAGUUUCUCUUCUCCUCCUCCAGCCUCCGGUGGUCUCUCCUGUUGCUGCUGGUGGUCUGUGGUCUCUCUUCAGACAACGGCGAGGAGAUAUAUCAGAUGCAAAGGUCUAAAGUAGUGGGUCGGUCUCUGUUCUUGGGUUCUCUUUACCCAAUCUGAGAAUGGCUUGUGUGGAAACCAUGGAAUUGGGUCAUAAGGGCUUCAGUCGCAGUUGAACAACAAACCCAGAAGACUAGAGUAGCUUUUAUCAGAAUUGGGACUAGAGUAAGGUGCAUUCUUUUUCAUUUUAGUGUUCUUCGUUUCAGCUUCUUUUGACUUGGCAAGAAAUUACAAAUGUAGUUAGAAUUUUGUUCAAUUUUGGGUGUUCGAAUUGACAUGGGUUUUCUACAUUAUGUCCUUUUCCUGUUCAUUCUUUCAGAUCUUGAUGUGUUGAGAAUUUUACUUUUUGUGCAUCUAUACAUGGUUUGUUGAUCCAAACGAUUACUUAUGCUUUUUUUUUACUAUAAUUCCUUAACACUUACCAUAAAUGUACUUAUAUAUAGAAAUCAUUAUAGUAAAUACCGAUGCUAUAAAUUUGAUGUUUGUAACAAAUGUAUGUGACAUUAACUAAAACCUUUUAUUAUAUUGGACUUCUUUCUAUGUUGAUACUACUGAGGAUUGCUGAGAGUUUCCACUUUUCAAGUAGAAGAAACAUGGUUGAAGCAUUAGUGGAACUAUUGCUUUAUACCUUAAUAUUUUAAUGUCCUCUGAUUAUAUUAUGUACUUAUUGCUUUGGUGUCAAAUGACUCUUCCGAUAUUUCUACUGUAUACUUAAAAUGUUGAUUCAUCCUUUUUCUCUGCAUAUGUGUUUCGAUGCAUAACCUAAUGUGUUCUUUUGGUUAACUUUGUUUUUUGUAUGUAAUUGAUGGAAUGUAUUGAAUCAAGUAUUGACAAUAAAGCUUGAAUGAAGAGGAAGUUGUUAACUGCAUUGAAGUGGGUUAGGUUUGAGAUUUUCAGAUUGGCCUCUGAUAAUAAUCAAAGGAAAUGGGAUUAGUCCCUUUUUUGAAAUGAUUCAUUUGUAUUGGUCAUAAUAUUCACUAGUGACUGUUAUGUAGAGUUCGUUUUUGCCUUAAAAUUCCAAUCUUUAGUCAUUGACUUUCACCCUUUUUGGUCUUGUUUCAAAACAUAAAAUAAAAUAGCAUGAUUGUUUGUAGCAGAACUUGUUUUACAAACAAAAGCUAGGAACUUUAAUUUAAAGUCUAUAUAUAUAGGUUGAUGCAUAUGCGUUUUGCUUUUUAAUUUAAUACCCUUUCCUUGAAACUUUUUUUUUUAAAAAAAAAGGAAAAGGAAAGAACAAAACUUUAACUUAUGUCCAUCACUUUUCUUUUUUGGUGUUAGAUCCUUAGAUUCUUACAAUUUGCUUCCCUCUUUGGGACUGAAUUUGUUUAUGAAUCUCUGUUUUCAAUUCCAUUUUUAAGCAAGUUUGUUUGGUUUUAGAGUCGCAAAGACUUUGAGGGAUCUCUCUUUGUCGUUAAAAGGUAACAACUUCUAUCUUGACCGUUUUGUAAUUGUCUAGUAAUACUUGUUUUUUCUGUGUUGGGGUUUUCUUUAUGGUUAAAUUGUAAUUGGCUUAGGCUCACCUAGUUCAAUGUAUCUUUUUGCUGUUAAGGAAUACUCAACUUCGGUUUCAGUUCAUUGUCAUGAAUCGGCGUAACACAGUUCAAGUCAGACGCUCCUUAUAGUAACGAGGAGAUCAAUGCAGUACGGGAUGAGUGAGCCGAAUUUGUGAAGCCUUUGAUUAUAAAUUAAGUACAAGGUUACUACUUUUGUUAUAAUACAUGAGUAACAAGUUUUAUGAUUAUUGUUAUUUUUUGCAUAUGUAAUUAGUUUAUAUUUAGUUUACGAUAUACAUGGAAUUUAAGUUUUAGGAUCGAUUCUAUUAACAAUUUUGGUAUUGUGUGAUUAGUUAAUAGAAUCGAUUACUAAUUUAUGUAAGUUUUAAAAAUGUUAUUUUAACUUUUUUGUAUUAUGUA